rnacentral:rRNA from 1 species
GACGAACGCUGGCGGCGUGCUUAACACAUGCAAGUCGAACGGAAAGGCCCUGCUUUUGUGGGGUGCUCGAGUGGCGAACGGGUGAGUAACACGUGAGUAACCUGCCCUUGACUUUGGGAUAACUUCAGGAAACUGGGGCUACUACCGGAUAGGAGCUCCUGCUGCAUGGUGGGGGUUGGAACGUUUCGGCGGUUGGGGAUGGACGCGCGGCUUACCGGCUUGUUGGUGGGGUAGUGGCUUACCAAGGCUUUGACGGGUAGCCGGCCUGAGAGGGUGACCGGCCACAUUGGGACUGAGAUACGGCCCAGACUCCUACGGGAGGCAGCAGUGGGGAAUAUUGCACAAUGGGCGGAAGCCUGAUGCAGCAACGCCGCGUGCGGGAUGACGGCCUUCUGGUUGUAAACCGCUUUCGCCUGUGACGAAGCGUGAGUGACGGUAAUGGGUAAAGAAGCACCGGCUAACUACGUC